rnacentral:rRNA from 1 species
UACGGAGGGAGCUAGCGUUGUUCGGAAAUACUGGGCGUAAAGCGCACGUAGGCGGAUUUGUCAGUCAGGGGUGAAAUCCCGGGGCUCAACCUCGGAACUGCCUUUGAUACAGCAAGUCUUGAGUUCGAGAGAGGUGGGUGGAAUUCCUAGUGUAGAGGUGAAAUUCGUAGAUAUUAGGAAGAACACCGGUGGCGAAGGCGGCCCACUGGCUCGAUACUGACGCUGAGGUGCGAAAGCGUGGGGAGCAAACAGG